GUAAAGGCACAAGGGAGCUUGACUGCGAGACCUACAAGUCGAGCAGGGACGAAAGUCGGGCUUAGUGAUCCGGUGGUUCCGCAUGGAAGGGCCAUCGCUCAACGGAUAAAAGCUACCCCGGGGAUAACAGGCUUAUCUCCCCCAAGAGUCCACAUCGACGGGGAGGUUUGGCACCUCGAUGUCGGCUCAUCGCAUCCUGGGGCUGUAGUCGGUCCCAAGGGUUGGGCUGUUCGCCCAUUAAAGCGGUACGCGAGCUGGGUUCAGAACGUCGUGAGACAGUUCGGUCCCUAUCCGUCGCGGGCGCAGGAAAUUUGAGAGGAGCUGUCCUUAGUACGAGAGGACCGGGAUGGACGCACCGCUGGUGUACCAGUUGUUCUGCCAAGGGCAUCGCUGGGUAGCUAUGUGCGGACGGGAUAAGUGCUGAAAGCAUCUAAGCAUGAAGCCCCCCUCAAGAUGAGAUUUCCCAUUCCGUAAGGAAGUAAGAUCCCUGAAAGAUGAUCAGGUUGAUAGGUCUGAGGUGGAAGUGUGGCGACACAUGGAGCUGACAGAUACUAAUCGAUCGAGGACUUAACCACAUUU
rnacentral:rRNA from 1 species